AGUUGGCGCUAUGUACCACAAAGCGUUGUAAUCCACGUUCAUUAGGAGGAGAAGAAGAAUCGCCACAGAAGAAGAGGCAGAUUUGAACUGGAGUCGAAAAAGAAGACUAGCCUACAUGGACAGUGAAAUCUUCAUUCUAAAUUCCAUUGAGGGAGGACACCAAAGACGGAAGUGGCAGCUCCCAUCCUGGGACUAGUCAGGAGAGAGCGUACGAGGCACAGCACAGCCCAUCAUCACCAGUUCCAUCGAAGGAGGACACAGAGGCCUCUAAUUCUGACGAGGAUGUCGGUGAGCCAGAAGAGCCAGACCCAGAGCCAGCUGUCUCCAGCACUACUUUUGCUCAUCCAAGAGGACGCAGUGAUAUUUCAAGAUGCAAAGAGGAAGGACCAGUUCAGCCUUGUCUGACACGAUUCCCCAGAACCCAGCAUGGAUCAAGGAAGAGAGCAUUCUGCAGUGCCUGGUAUAGAUUGAUGCCUUUUGUGUGUGUGCAUUUUUGCCAUUUUUGUAAAAAUGAGUUAUUAUUAUUAUUAAUAAUGAAUUGUUGAAAAUUUGUUGCAAAGUUGUGUUUUAUA